UUACGGCCAUAUCAUGUUGAAACAACGGUUCCCGUACGAUCACUGAAGUUAAGCCAUGUCGAGCCUGGUCAGUAACUAAAUGGGUAACUGCUUGCGAAUACCAGGUGCUGUAA
rnacentral:rRNA from 1 species